CCUACGGGAGGCUGCAGUGGGGAAUAUUGCGCAAUGGGCGAAAGCCUGACGCAGCGACGCCGCGUGAGGGAUGAAGGUCUUCGGAUCGUAAACCUCUGUCAGCAGGGAAGAACGGUCACUGUGCUAAUCAGCAGUGAAUUGACGGUACCUGCAAAGGAGGCACCGGCCAACUCCGGGCCAGCAGCCGCGGUAAUACUGAGGGUGGGAGCGUUAGUCGGAAUUACUGGGCGUAAAGCGCGCGUAGGCGGUAUGUCAAGUCAAUGGUGAAAUCCACGCGUUCAACGUGGGAGCUGCCUUUGAAACUGGCAAACUUGAGUGUGUGAGAGGAUAGUGGAAUUCCAGGUGUAGGAGUGAAAUCCGUAGAUAUCUGGAGGAACAUCAGUGGCGAAGGCGACUAUCUGGCACAUAACUGACGCUGAGGAGCGAAAGCGUGGGUAGCAAACAGGAUUAGAUACCCUUGUAGUC
rnacentral:rRNA from 1 species